AUACGAACUGUGCGAACGUUAUUCGGAAUCACUGGGCUUAAAGGGUGCGUAGGCGGCGGCACAAGUCAGGUGUGAAAUCCCCCGGCUCAACCGGGGAACAGCGCUUGAAACUAGGUCGCUCGAGUGAGGCAGGGGUGUAUGGAACUUCCGGUGGAGCGGUGAAAUGUGUAGAUAUCGGAAGGAACGCCGGCGGCGAAAGCGGUACACUGGGCCUUGUCUGACGCUGAGGCACGAAAGCUAGGGGAGUGAACGGGAUUAGAUACCCCGGUAAUCCUAGCCGUAAACACUGAGCACUGGAGGGGAGGGGCUUCGGCCUUUCCCCUCGCAGCGAAAGCGUUAAGUGCUCCGCCUGGGGAGUAUGGUCGCAAGGCUGAA
rnacentral:rRNA from 1 species